rnacentral:lncRNA from 10 species
CAGGAAUGAGACGUGGUGCUGCUAAGGAAGCUAACUUUGACCUGGAGUGCCUCCUCGGCUCUUCUGUACUUAGCCACCCAGAGAUGACGGUAGUAAAAUCCACGGGAUCAAAGCCCAUUUCAUCUCCUGACUAACACAGGUUUGGGCAUUCAUGAAUGAAGUUCACCUAAAUUCUCAACAAGAGUGAGAUCUCUAGAAAUGAGACCACAGGUCCUGAUAGAUCUUAGGGCUACAGACUAGGGGUAAGGUAGCCAUAGAGUUGGGCAAAUGUCUCCAGGGCUCCAAUGUUACUUUUCCUCUCUUGCUCCAGGCCUCUGUUAGGGACAAGAUGUAUUAGCUAGAGUCAUUUAUUCUAAGUGGCAUUGAGAAGGCAGUUGAUGAUCAGGUCAUCACCAAAGCAUUCUGUCUUUGUACAAAACCACAAUGUUUCCACCCUGGGGUUAUUGGUUGAUCACUGAACCCUCAGGAAAGACUUCAUUCUGGAUCAGGUCUAAGAAGUAAAGUGAUUCAAGAAAACAGGGGUAUGAGGAUAACUAUAUGAGGAAAAAUUUUAUUUAAAGAAGCCUUUUGUUUUCUGGACAGACAAGGCUGAGCAAGAAUAUGAUUGGCAUCUAUAAAAUGAUGUAUGAGGCAGAUAGUCAUGGAUUUAUUAACCAAAAAUUGGUAAUAAAUGAAGAGCAAAUAACAAAUAAGUAGUCCUAUUUUACAAAUGCAUAAUAAAGUUAAGCAACUUUUUAGGCUAAGAAUAUCAAUUAAAAGAUAAGCAUCAUCUAAAAUAAUGGUAACAUAAGGAACAAACAUGAUUAUAAAAUAAGAUUUAAAAAACAAGCCGGGCGCGGUGGCUCGUGCCUGUAAUCCCAGCACUUUGGAAGGCCGAGGCGGGUGGAUCACCUGAGGUCGGAGUUCCAGACCAGCCUGACCAACAUGGAGAAACCUCGUCUCUGCUAAAAAUACAGAAUUAGCCGGGUGUGGUGGCGCAUGACUGUAAUCCCAGGUACUCGGGAGGUCGGGAGGCUGAGGCAGGAGAAUCGCUUGAACCCGGGAG